rnacentral:rRNA from 1 species
AGUGAACGCUGGCGGUAGGCCUAACACAUGCAAGUCGAACGGCAGCACAGUAAGAGCUUGCUCUUACGGGUGGCGAGUGGCGGACGGGUGAGGAAUACAUCGGAAUCUACUUUUUCGUGGGGGAUAACGUAGGGAAACUUACGCUAAUACCGCAUACGACCUACGGGUGAAAGCAGGGGAUCUUCGGACCUUGCGCGAUUGAAUGAGCCGAUGUCGGAUUAGCUAGUUGGCGGGGUAAAGGCCCACCAAGGCGACGAUCCGUAGCUGGUCUGAGAGGAUGAGCAGCCACACUGGAACUGAGACACGGUCCAGACUCCUACGGGAGGCAGCAGUGGGGAAUAUUGGACAAUGGGCGCAAGCCUGAUCCAGCCAUACCGCGUGGGUGAAGAAGGCCUUCGGGUUGUAAAGCCCUUUUGUUGGGAAAGAAAAGCAGCAGGUUAAUACCCAGCUGUUCUGACGGUACCCAAAGAAUAAGCACCGGCUAACUUCGUG